ACAAUGGGCGCAAGCCUGAUCCAACCAUGCCGCGUGAGUGAUGAAGGCCUUAGGGUCGUAAAGCUCUUUCGCCAGGGAUGAUAAUGACAGUACCUGGUAAAGAAACCCCGGCUAACUCCGUGCCAGCAGCUGCGGUAAUACGGAGGGGGUUAGCGUUGUUCGGAAUUACUGGGCGUAAAGCGCGCGUAGGCGGAUUAGUCAGUCAGAGGUGAAAUCCCGGGGCUCAACCCCGGAACUGCCUUUGAUACUGCUAGUCUUGAGUUCGAGAGAGGUGAGUGGAAUUCCGAGUGUAGAGGUGAAAUUCGUAGAUAUUCGGGGGAACACCAGUGGCGAAGGCGGCUCACUGGCUCGAUACUGACGCUGAGGUGCGAAAGUGUGGGGAGCAAACAGGAUUAGAUACCCUGGUAGUCCACACCGUAAACGAUGAAUGCCAGUCGUCGGGCAGUAUACU
rnacentral:rRNA from 1 species